GGUUUUCAAGCUUUUUUUUUUUCCUUCUCUCCCCCACCCUCCUCUUUUUUUUGUUUUCAUGGAAGACUUGAAGAUGCCUUGCACUGAUUUCUCCAUGGGUGGGGAUUUGUUGCAUUACUUGUAGCUGUAUGUAGAGUAUUGCACUUGUCCCGGCCUGUGGAGGAAAGGAGGACUUGUCAUCAGGCUGAACUGCCCCAAAUUUGCCAGUUUGAUAAAGCUCUUGUUUUGCUGUUGUCGGGUGGAUCACGAUGCAAUUUUGAUUAGUUUAGUAGGAGAAAAAUUGCACGGUAUCCAUCUGUAAACCGCAAGACCUUCAUCGCUGACAGUGAGGCUUGUGUCAGUAACCACAGCUCACAAGACCAUCCUUGCUGGUGGCUCCACAGCUUCAAGGGACACGAAGAAAGAAAACUUCAAUACUAAGGUUUUUCAAAGCUUCACUUGGGAAAUAAACCAAAACCCCACAGAAAGCAAACCCCCAAAACCCCAGAGGUGGCUGCUGGGGCAAGUAUCCAAGAAGAUGUUGGUGUUUGGAGCCCUGGUCAUCUUUCACUGCUGUUUCUGGCAGCUGCACUCGCUGCCUGCCUGUGGCUGCUGUCUGGUGUGGAGUGGCAGAGCUCCUGCUGGGAUCCCCAUCUGUGUGCUGAGCCUUGGAAGGCUCUUCCUUCCUAGCUGUCAGCUUCUGUGGGGUCUCACAUUACCUCCACCAUCACACCCUUGUGACAUGGGGAGAUGUUUCACUUGGAAGACAUCAAAGCAAGAUCACAACAGUUCUGAGGCUUGGACGUCAGCCUGCUCCAUAAUCAGAGGAAGCAAAAGGUGAAAUCCUUGAAUAAACCUUUUUAAAAGAC
rnacentral:lncRNA from 1 species